rnacentral:tRNA from 1 species
GCCUUCGUGGUGUAACGGUUAGCAGACUCGGUACGUAUUCGAGAGGCCCAGGUUCGAGUCCCAGCGAGGGCA